rnacentral:rRNA from 1 species
CCUACGGGUGGCAGCAGUGAGGAAUAUUGGUCAAUGGGCGCGAGCCUGAACCAGCCACGUCGCGUGAAGGAUGACUGCCCUACGGGUUGUAAACUUCUUUUAUAAAGGAAUAAAGUGAGGCACGCUUGCCUUUUUGUCUGUGCUUUAUGCAUACGUCUCGGCUAACUCCGUGCCAGCAGCCGCGGUAAUACGGGGGAUACGAGCGUUAUCCGGAUUUAUUGGGGUUAAAGGGAGCGUAGGGGGGUUGUUAAGUCAGUUGUGAAAGUUUGCGGCUCAACCGUAAAAUUGCAAUUGAUACUGUCAGGCUUGAGUGCAGUUGAGGUAGGCGGAAUUCGGGGUGUAGCGGUGAAAUGCGUAGAUAUUACGAGGAACUCCGAUUGCGAAGGCAGCUUACUAAACUGCCACUGACAUUGAUGCUCGAAAGUGUGGGUAGCAAACAGGAUUAGAUACCCGAGUAGUC